rnacentral:rRNA from 1 species
GAUCAUGGCUCAGGAUGAACGCUGGCGGCGUGCUUAACACAUGCAAGUCGAACGAAGCACCUUGAUUUGAUUCUUCGGAUGAAGAUCUUGGUGACUGAGUGGCGGACGGGUGAGUAACGCGUGGGUAACCUGCCUCAUACAGGGGGAUAACAGUUAGAAAUGACUGCUAAUACCGCAUAAGACCACAGCACCGCCAUGGUGGCAGGGGUAAAACGUAAACCGUCGGUGU